AAAAAGAUAAGCUAAUAUAAGCUUUUGGGUUCAUACCCCAACUAUAAAGAAAUUCUUUUCUUUUUA
rnacentral:tRNA from 1 species